rnacentral:rRNA from 1 species
AUUGAACGCUAGCGGGAUGCCUUACACAUGCAAGUCGAACGGAGUGGCGAACGGGUGAGUAAUGUAUCGGAACGUGCCCAGUAGCGGGGGAUAACUACGCGAAAGCGUAGCUAAUACCGCAUACUAUUGGAGCGGCCGAUAUCGGUUUAGCUAGUUGGGGGGGUAACGGCUCACCAAGGCGACGAUCCGGAGCUGGUUUGAGCGGACGACCAGCCAAACCGGGACGGAGACACGGCCCAGACUCCUACGGUAGGCAGCAGUGGGGAAUGUUGGACAAGGGGCGAAACACUGAUCCAGCCAUCCCGCGUGUGCGAUGAAGGACUUCGGGUUGUAAAGCACUUUUGGCAGGAAAGCGGUACCUGCAGAAUAAGCACCGGCUAACUACGUGCCAGCAGCCGCGGUAAUAC